GUUAGCCUUUCAAGAAACUCUCAGAAUGACAAUUUAUCUCUUGGGCUGGGAAGACCUUCUUCUGAACCAGAUGAUGUGGUUUCUGCAUGAAAAGACAGAAAUUACCAACAGUUUACCAUGCCUCUGUGUCGAAGAAUGGAGGCCAAUUGGGCUUCUUUCUGAGGACUGGUAAAAUAACAGCCUGUCUCCUCGGGAGUGCACAUGCUGGGAUGCUUGUUGAACUGGCUCUGCACAUUUCCAUAUUCACAUCUCUUCUUUUCUCACUGCUGUCUUGUCUCAAUUGUAAAGAUGAUGCCAAAGUCUUGAUUUGUAUCCAUGGAAACCUCUAGCCAGUGGUGCUGUUCGACGUGAAUGCCACCGUCAUGCUAUUGUCCAUCUCACUUAAACAAGUACUG